rnacentral:misc_RNA from 1 species
GAUGAAGAACGCAGCGAAAUGCGAUAAGUAAUGUGAAUUGCAGAAUUCAGUGAAUCAUCGAAUCUUUGAACGCACAUUGCGCCCUCUGGUAUUCCGGGGGGCAUGCCUGUUCGAGCGUCAUUAUAACCACUCAAGCUCUCGCUUGGUAUUGGAGUUCGCGAUCUCGCGGCUCCUAAAAUCAGUGGCGGUGCCUGUCGGCUCUACGCGUAGUAAUACUCCUCGCGAUUGAGUCCGGUAGGUUUACUUGUCAGCAACCCCCAAUUUUUACAGGUUGACCUCGGAUCAGGUAGGGAUACCCGCUGAACUUAAGCAUAUCAAUAAGCGGAGGA